UACAGAGGUCUCAAGCGUUGUUCGGAUUCAUUGGGCGUAAAGGGUGCGUAGGUGGCAUGGUCAGUCGGAUGUGAAAUCCCGGGGCUCAACCCCGGAACUGCAUUCGAUACUGCCGCGCUAGAGUACUGGAGAGGAGAUUGGGAUUUACGGUGUAGCAGUGAAAUGCGUAGAUAUCGUAAGGAAGACCAGUGGCGAAGGCGGAUCUCUGGACAGUUACUGACACUGAGGCACGAAGGCCAGGGGAGCAAACGGG
rnacentral:rRNA from 1 species